rnacentral:rRNA from 1 species
UGCAUAUCAAUAAGCGGAGGAAAAGAAACUAACAAGGAUUCCCCUAGUAACUGCGAGUGAAGCGGGAAGAGCUCAAAUUUAAAAUCUGGCGGUUCUGCCGUCCGAGUUGUAGUCUGGAGAAGUGUUAUCUGCGUCGGACCGUGUACAAGUCUCCUGGAAUGGAGCGUCAUAGAGGGUGAGAAUCCCGUCCAUGACACGGAGCUCCCGAUGCUUUGUGAGGCACUCUCAAAGAGUCGAGUUGUUUGGGAAUGCAGCUCAAAAUGGGUGGUAAAUUCCAUCUAAAGCUAAAUAUUGGCGAGAGACCGAUAGCGAACAAGUACCGUGAGGGAAAGAUGAAAAGCACUUUGGAAAGAGAGUUAAACAGUACGUGAAAUUGUUGAAAGGGAAACGCUUGAAGUCAGUCGCGUCCCGUGGAACUCAGCCUGGCCUCGGCUUGGUGUACUUUCCAUGGGACGGGUCAACAUCAAUUUCGGCCGGUGGAAAAGGGCGAGGGGAAUGUAGCGUCGUUUCGGCGGCGUGUUAUAGCCCUUUGUCGCAUACGCUGGCUGGGAUUGAGGACUGCAGCACGCCCUUGUGGCCGGGGUUCGCCCACGUAACGUGCUUAGGAUGUUGGCAUAAUGGCUUUAAGCGACCCGUCUUGA